UAGCCUGGACAAAUGCAUAAUUUAGUCUCAGAUAGCUGGACUAGCAAGCUCACGGUGGGGGGUGUCAUGCUAGAAUGUUGUUUGUGCAAGGAAUCUGAAUUUCAAAGGACAGCCUUGCCCGCAGAGAUACCACCCAGAACAAUGAGGGUUUAAUUAAGGUUUAGAACCCUGAUUUGUUCACUGGGGGCUGAGAGGAAGCCUCCAGGUAAGAUUCUAUUUGGAAAUAGAUUAUUGACCAAUGGCAGGGGAAGGGGGGCCUAUUUGCAUAUAUUACUAUUCAUGACCUCAGGACUAAAGGAAUCAGAAUGACAGCAGGCGAUAUCUCUGUCAGCCUGCUGUUUCUGGAGGGAAAGGCAGUUGGUGGGUGGAUAAAUAGACGUUUUUUUUUUUGUGCUGCCUUUUUCUCCUGGACCCAAUGUUCUAUCAGACCCAAAUGUGAGAUCUACUUCUCUGAGAAAUUCUCCCACUCAAAGGGAACACUUUGAUGAGAUUAAUUAACCUGAAUACCAAAGAUCUGUUUGUGGCACCCAGAUGUGGAGUUGGUGGGCAGACCCUGCUCAAGGAGGAGCAAAGUUCUAGGAAGGGGAAGAGGACCCAGGAAGGUCAUCCAGGCUCCUCAGCAUGAGCCAGGCACUCUCGGUUUACAUUCGACCAGGAAGGGAAGGAGCCUGUGGAAUUCCCAGCACAUCCCAGCCGGGGAGGCAACACCAGGAUUCCCAGCCUGUGGUACUGUGCUGGGCCUCGCCUGCUCACCCAGGUCGCAAGCUUGGAAGAAAGUUUUAUUCUUCACACCAGGCCUAACCUAUUGCAUUGUAUUUACAAGCCUUUGAGCAGUUCUAUGAAACACCCAACCCUCUUACACCUGCCUUGGCUCUUUCACAUUCGUGGUACCUGAAAUCAGAUGGAAAGUAGAUAGUCGAAUGGCACGUUUCAAAAAAAUGUUUCUUCCUGGAAAAUGGGAGUAGUUUCUUUCUGGAGGGGGGAGACUGUCUCAUUCGCCUCAUUUUUGUCGAUUGCUGAGUAACAAAACCCAGCUACCUCCUCUUUCCUCUUGCUGGGGAACAGAGCGAGAAAAACAACUCCGGGAGCUUUCCCAAAGGGUGCACGUAUCUCAACGGACAAAGCCAGGGAGUUGAUGCCUUCUGCUGGGCGUGCGCCUGGAGAAUUUGCCCCACUGGAAAAGGAGAAGU
rnacentral:lncRNA from 12 species